rnacentral:lncRNA from 1 species
AAUAAGAAAAAAUAUACACUGGACCUGCAGUUAACUUCUUGACAAUGCCAAGGAUAAAAAACAGAUGAAACAACAUUUGUUGAAGAUGAAAAGAGCACUUCAUCUCCCUCUAAGAGGAGCUGGCCCUAGAUAACUGCCAGGGAAAAAGCAAGGCUAGCUUCCCUAUGAGACUGGUGCAUGUCUGUCCUGCAUGCCUGCUGCCAGCCACUCCCAGGGCUCCUGGCUGGCCACCCACAAGAACAAGUUCAGAGUACAGCCCUCUUGCCCAACCUCGGUGCUUUGCUCCAUCUGAGUGCAUUCCAGCAGGCUGGGAGCCCUCUGAGUUUUACAAAAUACCCAGAAUUUAAACUCCAGAGUCUGGAGGAGGAAGCCACGAGUAGUUCCUGGUGCCCAUGGCUGAAGCCUGUGGAUCAGGAGUUCUGAGCCAGGAUCUGUGCCCAGCACUCAAGUGGGAGAGGAACAAGCACUCUCCAGAACCUGAGAGAGACUUCUGCUCAAAGGAGCCCUGUGGCUUGAAACUCUUAACAGCAACAAAAAAAUUGAGGGCCCAGUGCUAGUGAUCUGAGGUGGCUCCCUGAAAGCUCAGAAGUGGACCUGGUGAGUAGAUCACCUCCCUGUCCCAUAGAGCACAGCUUCAAAUGCAAAGAGGAACAAAGGAGUCACAUGACUGAAUAUGAGCCUAUGUACCACCCAUUGCUCUCAAGCAUCAUCUACUGGAUUGCAGUCCAAACCACAACACCAAAAAACACUGCUAAUUUUACCCUUUGGAAAAUCAAGGAUAAGAAGUUAACAAAAAACAAAGACUCUGUACAAAGCUUUAAUUAGCCUUCUGAAAACUCAAAACGAAGCCAAGUGACUAUACUCAAUUUAAACCACAAAAAAAGAACACCAACCCUCCCAGAAGAGAAAGAAUCAGCACAAGAUCUUUGGCAAUUAAAAAAGCCAAAGUGUCCCCUUACCUCCAAAUGGGCCUGCUUGCUCCCCAGCAAUGGUUCUUAAACAGCCCGAAAUGUCUCAAAUGAUACACAUGGAAUUCAGAAUGUGGCUGGCAAGAAAGGUCACCGAAAUCCCUGGGAAAAAUUGUAACUCAAUCCAAGGAAGCCAAGACAUCAAGUAAAAUGAUUCAAGAGCUUAAAGUUGAAAAAGCCAUUUUAAGAAAGACCCAAACUGAACUUUUGAGCUGCAAAAUUCACUACAAGAAUUCUGAACUAGUUUUAAGUCAAAAUAUUAAUGACGAUCCUCAGGGCAGCCUCUAAGAAAAUAACUCAAAAAAUGCAUAGUGGAAGAAACAGCAAGAGAGUUAAAAUUGUAUACUAGAAAAAUACCUAACACAAAGAAUGCAGUAAUGACAGAAGAUAGUAAUGGCAAAACAGAGGAACAAAAAGGAAAUACACACAGAAAACAGCGAAAUGGCAGGCAUAUAUCCUACUUUAUCAAUAAUUACAUUAAAUGUGAGUUGAUUAAUGCUCCAACCAAAAGGCAGAGAUUGGCAGAAUAAUUUUUUAAAAAAACAACAUGAUCCAAUUAUAUGCUGUCUACAGAAGACAAACUGAGUCAGACACAAAUAGGUUGAAAGUAAAAGGAUGGGAAAAUAUAUGUCAUGCAAACAGUAAAGAAAGCUGGAAUGGCUAUGCUACUAUCAGGCAGAAUAGACUGUAAGACAAAAAUCAUUACUGGAAGCAAAAAAAGAGACAUUUUAUAAUUAUAAAAGGAUUGCUCCAUCAGGAAGACAUAACUAUAAAUGUAUGUGCACCUAACACCUAAGCUCCAAAAUACAUGAAGCAAAAACUAAUAGAAUUGAAGGGAGAAAUAGAAAUUCAGUGAUAAUAGCUGGAGGCUUCAGUACCCCACUUUCAAUAAUGGAUAGAACAACUGGACAGAAGUUCAACAAAGAAAUAGAAGACUCAAACAACACUCUAUACCAACUAGACCUCAAAGGCAUCUAUAGAACACUCUAAACAACAGCAGAUACAUGUUCUUCUCAAGUAUGAAUUAGACUACAAAUUGAGCCUCAAUAAAUUUAAAAGAUUGAAAUCAUACAAACUUCUGCAAUCACAAUGGAAUUUUUUUUUUUUUUUGAGACAGAGUCUCACUCUGUCACCCAGGCUGGAGUGCAGUAGCACAAUCUUGGCUCACUGCAACCUCUGCCUCCCAGGUUCAAGUGAUUCUUGUGCCUUAGCCACCUGAGUAGCUGGGAUUACAGGCAUUCACCACCACACCCAACUAAUUUUUGUAUAUUUAGUAGAGACAGGGUUUUGCCAUGUUGGCCAGGCUGGUCUUGAACUCCUGGCCUCAAGUGAUCUGCCCACCUCGGCCUCCCAAAAUGCUGGUAUUAUAGGUGUGAGCCAACACACCCAGCCAUGGGGUGAAAUCAAUAAUCAGUAACAAAAGGAAAAUUUGGAAAUUCUCAAUUGUGUGCAAAUUUAAACACACACACACAGACACACCCCUAAAUAAGCAAUAGGUCAAAGAAUAAAUCACAAGAGAAAUUAGAAAUGAAUGAAAAUGAAAACAAAAAUACAAUAUAUCAAAGCUUAUGUGGUGUAGUUAAAGCAGUGGUUAUAGGGAAAUAUACAGUUUAAAUGCUUAUGUUAAAAAAUAAUUUUAUUGCAUGUAUAUUAUACCUAAAUAAAGCUGAUAUUAAUGAAAAAAAGAAUUUCCUAAUCUGAAGUAUUAACAUCAGAAUAAACUAAGCUGAGGACAAAAUCUAAGAGCUCAAAGACAAGUUCUUUGAGUCAAUUCAAUGAGACAAAAAUAAAGAGGAAAAUGAAGAAAAAUCAACGAAAUCUCCAAGAACAAUGGGAUCAUGUAAAGAGACCAAAUCUAUGACUCAUUGGCAUUCCUGACACAGAAGGGGAGAUAAUAAGCAACUUGGAAACUAUAUUUGAGGAUAUAGUCCAUGAAAAUUUUUCUAAUCUCACUAGAGAGGUUGACAUGCAAAUCCAAGAAAUACAGAGAACUUAAGCCAGAUACUAUAAAGGACAACCAUCCUCCUCAAGGCCAAUGCAAAAGAAAAAAUCUUGCCUAUUUCCUGAAUGGUAAUGCCUAGGUUUUCUUCUAGGGUUUUUAUGGUUUUAGGUCUAACGUUUAGAUCUUUAGUCCAUCUUGAAUUGAUUUUUGUAUAAGGUGUAAGGAAGGGAUCCACUUUCAGCUUUCUACAUAUGGCUAGCCAGUUUUCCCAGCAC